rnacentral:rRNA from 1 species
UACAGAGGUCCCAAGCGUUGUUCGGAUUCACUGGGCGUAAAGGGUGCGCAGGCGGCGGGGCAAGUCGGACGUGAAAUCUCGGGGCUCAACCCCGAAACUGCGUUCGAUACUGCCUUGCUCGAGGACUGGAGAGGAGACUGGAAUUCCUGGUGUAGCAGUGAAAUGCGUAGAUAUCAGGAGGAACGCCAAUGGCGAAGGCAAGUCUCUGGACAGUUCCUGACGCUCAUGCACGAAGGCCAGGGGAGCAAACGGG